rnacentral:rRNA from 1 species
AGUGAACGCUGGCGGUAGGCCUAACACAUGCAAGUCGAACGGCAGCACAGUAAGAGCUUGCUCUUACGGGUGGCGAGUGGCGGACGGGUGAGGAAUACAUCGGAAUCUACUUUUUCGUGGGGGAUAACGUAGGGAAACUUACGCUAAUACCGCAUACGACCUACGGGUGAAAGCAGGGGAUCUUCGGACCUUGCGCGAUUGAAUGAGCCGAUGUCGGAUUAGCUAGUUGGCGGGGUAAAGGCCCACCAAGGCGACGAUCCGUAGCUGGUCUGAGAGGAUGAUCGGCCACACUGGAACUGAGACACGGUCCAGACUCCUACGGGAGGCAGCAGUGGGGAAUAUUCGGCAAUGGGCGAAAGCCUGACGGAGCCACGCCGCGUGAGUGAAGAAGGCCUUCGGGUUGUAAAGCCCUGUUAUUAGGAAAGAAAAGCAGUGGAAGUAUACACGGCUGUUUUGACGGUACCCAAAGAGUAAGCACCGGCUAACUACGUG